rnacentral:rRNA from 1 species
UACAGAGGUCCCAAGCGUUGUUCGGAUUUACUGGGCGUAAAGGGUGCGUAGGCGGUCGGGUAAGUCUGGUGUGAAAUCUCAGAGCUCAACUCUGAAACGGCAUCGGAUACUAUUCGGCUUGAGGUCUGGAGGGGGGACUGGAAUUCUCGGUGUAGCAGUGAAAUGCGUAGAUAUCGAGAGGAACACCAGUGGCGAAGGCGAGUCCCUGGACAGGUCCUGACGCUGAGGCACGAAAGCUAGGGGAGCAAAC